UGACUCGGAAAGGGAAUUUGAGCCUUUAAUGGCUCUCCGAAAUGCAAAGGGAAUGAUGAGUUCAUAGUGAACUCGAACAAAUUUUCACAUGCAAGAAAGGAAGAUAAGAAUUAGAGUGAGAAUAAUUGGCAACAAGUAACACUUUGGUAACAACUGAUCUUUAACAUACAACAAAGACGAGGUAAAAGCUUAAGGCAAAAUUACGCACAUGGACAACAAAAUGAAAGGAAAUAUUAUUGACAUCUAACAUGCUUCCAAAUAACUGAAGCCAAGCAAAUCAAUUGGGCAUAUAGACAAAUUGUCAUUAUGAACAAAAUGGACCAACAUACAGUGAUAUCAAAUUUACAUCAUACAGUGAUAUCAAAUAAAUAACAUAAGUGAUUAGAUUAGCAAUAGAUUUGAGAAAAUAAAUUCACCCGACCCAAAUGUAUACAUUUAUUCAAUAGUUAGUUAAGCAUAGAGCAUCCAUGAAUAUUAUAUGCUAAAGAAUAA
rnacentral:lncRNA from 1 species